GGCUGCGUAGUGUAACGGUUAUCACAUCAGAUUCUGAGCAUUGAAGACCCAGAUUGUCUUCUGGGGACCCCGGUUCGACUCCCGGCGCGGCCU